AUUAAAUUUUUUUGUCAAGAACUGUAAUAACUCAUCUCAAAAUGAUGAGCCAUUUUAAGUCUUGUUUGAACCUGAAAAAUAUUUUCUGAAUUAUUUGAAGAUACACAUUAAAAAAAAACAAACUAUAGACAAAAGAUGUGUCGUGCUCUUUUUCCUGAAUAAGCAGCCUUCGGACCAAUUACAGAACACAAAAUAUGUACAAAUUUUCUAUUUGAUAGUCUCUUUAUCGUCUGUUGGGGCUAGUGAGGCAUAUGAUUAUUGUGAGGAUAUGGCCGUGCCAACCUAGUUCAGAUGUUAUCCUCGAUUAGUGAUGCCGUUUCUGCUCUUAUCCCUUUAAUCAUUGUAUCCUUACCUCAUCUUUGAUUAGUAAAAUUUCUUCAAAAGACAAGAAAAUGAAGAAAUGAAGGGAACACAUAUGGAGGUGGUGUUCAACAUGGAAGCUAGAAAAUUAAUACUCUAAAAUGUCACCUGUAAUAUGCUUCAUCACCCCAAUCUCUUUUCGGUGGAUCGUCAUACCGAGCCUUAAUACUGAUCCACGACGUUCGUUUCGAACCCAAUUCUGAUCCACGACGUUCGUCUUCUCUCGGCAAUUGCAGGCUCCCCUUCGCAUUCGCGGGGAACAAGGACUCAACUGGAGCACUCGAAUUGAAAUCCUUAGCCAUUUUGUCGGAAACCCAUGUCUUGACAUUGGCGCUCGACCGAGGGAAAAUGGCUUCCGCCAUUUUUUUCUCGGACUGCCUCAUCGUGAGGAAAAGAGUCGGUGACCGUCGUGGAAAGGAGCUUUUUCCUGUUAAAAAUCGAGACCUCGGUGUUAUUGUCGAACAGAGGUGAGAAAAAUGAUAUCGACACGUUGAAAGUGAUUUCCCCAAUGAUAGAUAUCCAAGACGAAGAGAUGGCGUCAUCGAGAGACAGGGAUGCUGAGUGGACAUGGAUUUUGGGGCUAUAUGGAUUCCCCC